GGGGUUUGCACGAUGUGAAGUGGGGUGAGGUAGGUACAUUCUACAGCUUUAUUCCUUACAACCUGUCCUUAGAGGAGGAGCCAACUCCUGAUAUGCCACACUUUUUCUUUGGUAGAACAUUCACCAAGCAUAAACACCGCAUCUUAUUUCACUUCCAACACUUCCUUGGGGUUUUCCAUAGCACCCAGAACACCACUUGCUGUUCUAUAUCAUCUUUGUUCCUUGGCUCUGACACCCUUUCUAAGUGUCUUACAAGAAUUCAGCCUCUCUGGGAAACAAAGCAGCCUGGCAGACAGGUAACUUGGUGCUGGCUUUCAGCCAGGGUCCCUGCUUUGAGACAGCUGCUCUGGGGUCCUCACAAUGUCUGCACAAUGUGUGUUUACUCCCCCCAUAAUGCUGAAGUAUUUGAGGUCACACUGGUGCUAACAGAUUCACCUGCCCCUUCCUUGAGACAAAGAGGCUUUUCCUUUCUCAGGUGGGAAACUGAAGCAGGAGAGAGGGAAAGGCUUGGCUGAACUCCCACAAGUUUAUAGCAGAGCUGGAACCAUAAGCAAGGCUUCCAGAAGUCCAAUUGCACGUGGAAGCCCACGUUUCCCACAUGCAUAUAAUUCAAAAUUGCCUUUCCUUUGUACUAAGAUGUUCUUUGUCUGAGGCUGAACUUUGGGGAACACGUUCUUUCUGAUAUUGGUGACAAGUGAAUGAUGAAGGGGGUUGUGCUUUCAGGAGAUAAGGGUUUUCUUUUGUCUUUGAUCUGAGAAAGGAAGGGGAAAGGCUGCGCUUUCAAAGUUGCAGGACUGGGCAAAAUCGCUUCCAAAGGAGCAUGUUCUGCAGGGUACUGCUGCAUGCCUGGCCAGGCUUCAGCUACUCUCACUCCCUAUCACUGCCCAUGAGGCUGCUAGUGUCCCAAGGGAUCUGCCUUUCCUAUGCCCUGUGAGAAUGGGACCUAUCAGUCAUGGGAGGAGAGGGACUUGGAGAGUCUCUGUCCGGGCUAACAAAAGUAGGGCUGUGUACUGAGAUAAAAAUGGAUUUUAUGUCACUGUGAGCCGAGUCUCACUGAGACUUAGCAGGACAAAAAGGAUUUUGGAUGCCAUAGCUUCCUUAUUUCUGUUAAGGUUCUACUAAGUCAGUGUUGGAUGGGAGAAGACAAACAGAAGCAUCAGUAUCUGCCAAGAGCGGAAGCCAAAACAGGAUUCUAAGACUAUGGAGUUGUUGAAAGAUUGUCUGCCUUUGGAUGAGAUGAAUUGCACUUGAAGCGCAGUUCCUCUGGAAGUGCUGUUUCUCUCCAGUUACUGCAACGCGAAUCUGAACAACUACAUCAGAAGUACACACAAUGAAUCCCACGUCGUGGGUUUAGCUUGAAUAUGUUGAUGGAGAAUGACACUGCUUGUCGUGUCUUGUAAUGUUUCCUGAGCAAGAUGCUGCUUUUCGUAUCCUAGGUUCUGGAGCACGCACUCCUGAGCUGUGCCCUGCUGGGUACUUCUGUCUGCCAGGUACCAACUUCAGUACAGAGCAUCCAUGUCCAAAGGGUACCUUUGGCCCCAGGACUGGUGCCACCAGCGACUCUGACUGUGAGCCCUGCCCAGCAGGUAAGGAAGGACUUGGCACAAAAAAAACCUGAGGGC
ensembl:lncRNA